rnacentral:rRNA from 1 species
UACAGAGGGUGCAAGCGUUAAUCGGAAUCACUGGGCGUAAAGCGCACGUAGGCGGAUCUUUAAGUCAGAGGUGAAAUCCCAAGGCUCAACCUUGGAACUGCCUUUGAUACUGGGGAUCUUGAGUCCGGGAGAGGUGAGUGGAACUGCGAGUGUAGAGGUGAAAUUCGUAGAUAUUCGCAAGAACACCAGUGGCGAAGGCGGCUCACUGGUCCGGUACUGACGCUGAGGUGCGAAAGCGUGGGGAGCAAACGGGG